GACGAACGCUGGCGGCGCGCCUAACACAUGCAAGUCGAACGAGCGAGAGGAGGUUUACUUUCUCAAGCGAGUGGCGAACGGGUGAGUAACGCGUGAGGAACCUGCCUCAAAGAGGGGGACAACAGUUGGAAACGACUGCUAAUACCGCAUAAGCCCACGACCCGGCAUCGGGUAGAGGGAAAAGGAGCAAUCCGCUUUGAGAUGGCCUCGCGUCCGAUUAGCUAGUUGGUGAGGUAAUGGCCCACCAAGGCGACGAUCGGUAGCCGGACUGAGAGGUUGAACGGCCACGUUGGGACUGAGACACGGCCCAGACUCCUACGGGAGGCAGCAGUGGGGAAUAUUGCACAAUGGGGGAAACCCUGAUGCAGCGACGCCGCGUGGAGGAAGAAGGUCUUCGGAUUGUAAACUCCUGUUGUUGAGGAAGAUAAUGACGGUACUCAACAAGGAAGUGACGGCUAACUACGUG
rnacentral:rRNA from 1 species